UACGUAGGGUGCGAGCGUUGUCCGGAAUUACUGGGCGUAAAGAGCUCGUAGGUGGUUUGUCGCGUUGUCCGUGAAAACUCACAACUCAAUUGUGGGCGUGCGGGCGAUACGGGCAGACUGGAGUACUGCAGGGGAGACUGGAAUUCCUGGUGUAGCGGUGGAAUGCGCAGAUAUCAGGAGGAACACCAGUAGCGAAGGCAGGC
rnacentral:rRNA from 1 species